UGCGAAGGGUGCAAACGUUGCUCGGAAUUAUUGGGCGUAAAGCGCACGUAGGCGGCUUUGCAAGUCGGAUGUGAAAUCCCUCGGCUCAACCAAGGAAGUGCAUCCGAAACUGCAGAGCUUGAGUACCAAAGAGGAUCGCGGAAUUCCCGGUGUAGAGGUGAAAUUCGUAGAUAUCGGGAGGAACACCAGUGGCGAAGGCGGCGAUCUGGGUGGAUACUGACGCUGAGGUGCGAAAGCGUGGGGAGCAAACAGG
rnacentral:rRNA from 1 species